CCUCCUUCGACUCGCUGACGCUCCUCUGGCUCAUGCUAAUCACAUAGCCUACGUUAGCUCAAACGUCCCGCGCGGGGGGGGGGGGGGGGGGGGGGGGCACCGAUCCUGUAGAGGUUUAAUGAAAAGAACCCAGGGCUCAUUUAAUUUCCUGUAAUAGGUAGAAUUUACAAUUAAGAGUCAUAUGUUGUGUUCCAGAACUGUCGUCAGCGUGACGAGGUGAUGAGCAGUGACAUCCUGGAGCUGGAGGCGUCACUCAGAAAACAGGAAGUGUUCAGAGAGCAGGAGACACCUGCCGAGGAAAUAGCACGACUCAAAGAGGCCUCGCACACUGACCACUACAACAUGGACAGAGAGUUGUCAGUUCCUGAGAAGGUGUUGAUUCCAGAGCGUUAUGUAGAGUCAGAUCCAGAGGAGGCUCUCAGCCCAGAGCAGGAGGCUGGCAAACAGACGAAGGUGGACCGUAUUAAAGCCCUCAUCGACAAAAACAGGUACUUUUUGCUUUGUCCUUGACAGUUUGGUUGCAGGUACUAUGUUAGAUGUGCAUUCAGACCAACACAGUACAGUUUGGCUCAGCUUGGCUCAGUAGUUUCAAAAGGGUAUUACUGUGGUAAAGAAACGUGACCUAUGACUCAACCACAUCUACUUAUCUUUCCCAGGUAUCUGAAUCACCCUGUGUAAGGUAAUUUAUUACAGCUGGUCAGGGUUGAUGUUUGCACAGUACACAGCAAAUACUAUAUACAAUGUAGAAAGAGAGUUCGGUGUAACUAGUGCUCUUUCCGGAAUAGCUGGAUAUCAGGACAGGCAGGCUCAAAUGAGUCGCCACCACACAUGCUUCCUUCCUGGUCAGUGCAGAUCAGUGCAUAGGAAAACCAUGCUAUUUCCAUUAGCUACAUUCUACAUUCUAAAUAUCAGAGACAAGAAAUUAACCAAUUUGAAGUGUGUGCGUAACAAACAAGGUCCUGUGUGUCUCAGUUCUUGGUAAAAUGGGUUGUGGCUGUGGGUUCAAUCCCUGGCGAGAUCAAACUCACAUGUACUCACUAUACUUUGUCCCUUUGGAUAAAACAGUGUGCUAAAUGCCAUAUGUCUGCCCAGUAUGCAGAAUGUGCUCUCACAUCCAAGUGGGGUGCUGAGCCCUGAGGAGGAGGCUACAGCUCAAGAGCAGGAGAAGAUGAUCAACAUCUCCUAUGAACUGGCUGCUGAGGCUUCCAAACGCAGCAAGCUGGUCGCAGGUACAGUACAGCACAUGACAGUAUGGAGUAUGGGAGGAGGUAGAGCAGGACCAACUAAACUAAGUGACAAAGAUGGUGGAGAAUAGACCUUUGAAUCACAAAUGAAUGCAAUCCUCUUUAAUCUGUCCAGUUCUUUUCAUAAUAAGCGAUCCAUGAUCAUCAUGCUAAUAACAGUAUUCAUUUGAUUUAGAUCAAAUGUAUUUCCUUUACUUGUUUUAUCAUUCAUUAACUUCCCGCAACUUGUUUGUUUUUGCCAUUGUGUGUGUGAUCAUGUGUGUAUGGUCCACGUGCGUCCUGUGUGGUUUGCAGUGCACAGCUGGUCCUCCUCACCGCUUCCUGAGCCCCAACCUUCCUCAUCUCCACCUCCUAACACACAACCACCACCCCAGCUCACUGAUGGGUCCCACUUCAUGUGUGUGUAAUAGGAGUGGCAUCAGUAAUUGUGUGUAGGAUUGCCCGUAAGAGCCUCCAUCUCUACACAGUCUCUCCUCUCUGUUCAGACUCUCUUUACACUUGCCGCCUCUCAGGCUUUCAAUUGCUGUCAACAUUUUUGACAUACAUCUUUCCAACUUUUCUCUCUCUCUGUCUGACCUGUCUCUCUCUCUCUCUCACACAAUUUUUAUUUCGCUCUUUUUAUUCUCUCCCUCUCGUUUUAGCCCAGGCCCUGGCUUCAGUGAAGGCCUACAGGUGAGAGAUGUGACACAGAGAUGAGGAGGCUCCUAUUUGCUGUAAAGAAGACCUCUACACAAGGACAUGAUACAGCACAAAGUGUAGACCAAGAGAACUGUACUCGACAGACAGAUAGUUGGACCACGCCAUGAGCUGGGCCUUAUAUGCUGUCUGCUCAAUCUAUGCCUCACUGUGACAUCACAUCCUCCUGUGCCAUGGCGUCACUUCCUGUGAUGUCAUCACCCUUUGAUGUCAUCACCACCACAAUCUCCCCUCUCCCUCCCUUGCCCCAUGGGAUCACAACUUUGCAACAAAAAACACAAUAAUAAGACAUCGAUACUGUUGUUUGCUGUUAGAGUAGUUAGUUUCAUUGUCGUAAUUUAUAUUGUUUGGAGUUUGUUUGAAUAUGACUGAUGUGUGUGUCAAGAAUAUAUGGACUGAACCCUUCUGUGAUGAGGAUGGCACACUGUUAUGCCAUUGAUUCUUUCAUAGUUUAAGAGUUCCACAGCAUUGUUUCAUAACUCUUAUUGCAUUUCAGUUCAUAUUUGAGUUCGUAUUGAGUUUACAUUUUAGUUUAAUCCCAGAAUGACCCUCAAUCUACACACAAUACCCCAUAAUGACAAAACAAAAAUAGGUUUUCAGAAAUGUUUGCAAAUGUUAAAAAAAAAAGGGAAAAAAAGGAAAUUUACAUAAGUAUUCAGACCCUUUACUCAGUACUUUGUUGAAGCACCUUUGGCAGCAAUUACAGUCUCGAGUCUUCUUAGGUAUGACGCUACAAGCUUGGCACACCUGUAUUUGGGGAGUGUCUCCCAUUCUUCUCUGAAGAUACUCUCAAGCUCUGUCAUGUUGGAUGGGGAGCGUCACUGCACAGCUAUUUUCAGGUCUCUCCAGAGAUGUUCGAUCAAGUCCGACCUCUGGCUGGGUCACUCAAGGACAUUCAGAGACUUGUCCCGAAGCCACUCCUGCGUUGUCUUGGCUGUGUGCUAUGGGCCGUUGUCCUGGUGGAAAGUGAACCUGGUCCUGAGUGCUCUGGAGCAGGUUUUCAUCAAGGAUCUCGCUGUGCUUUCCUCCGUUAAUUUUUCCUUCGAGCAUGACUAGUCUCCCAGUCCCUGCCACUGAAAAACAUCCCCACAGCAUGAUGCUGCCACCACCAUGCUUCACUGUUGGGAUGGUGUCAGGUUUCCUCCAGAUGUGACGCUUUGCAUUCAGGCCAAAGAGUUCAAUCUUGGUUUCACCAUCAGACUAAGAGUCCUUUAGGUGCCUUUUGGCAAACUCCAAGCGGGCUGUCAUGUGCCUUUUACUGAGGAGUGGCUUCCAUCUGGUCACCUCCAUGACCAAGGCCCUUCUCCCCCAAUUGCUCAGUUUGGCCAUGCGGCCAACUCUAGGAAGGGUCUUGGAAGUUCCAAACUUCUUCCAUUUAAGAAUUAUGAAGGCCACUGUUCUUGGGGACCAUCAGUGUUGCAGAAAUGUUUUGGUACCCUUUCCCAGAUCUGUGCCUCGACACAAUCCUGUCUCAUAGCUCUACAGCCAAUUCCAUGGCUAUGUUUUUGCUCUGACAUGCACUGUCAACUGUGGGAACUUAUAUAGACAGGUGUGAGCCUUUCGAAAGCAUGCACAAUCAAUUGAAUUUACCACAGGUGGACUCCAAUCAAGUUGUAGACAUGACAUGGUCAUUAUAGGGUAUUGUGUGUAGAUUGUUUAAAUUCAUUUUUUCAUUUUAGAAAAAGGGUGUGACAUAACAACAUGUGGAAAAAGGGAAUGGGUCUGAAUUCUUUCCAAAUGCACAUCCAUAACAAGCUACAAUGCUAUUAUUAGAGUUGGGAUAUGAACAUUUGCAUAUGAUCUGUUGUAUAUAAUGUUAAAUGUUUCUGAUAUUACACAGUGGUCGUUUGGUGGUGGUUACUAUUCUGUCAUAUAGAGAUGUAUUGAAAAUGAUUAGUAUUUACACCUAACCAUCCUAACUGAGGGCUGUUAGACAAUACACUAUUGUAUUGAACAAAAUACGCACAUGUAGCACAUGGGGAUGUUGGAAACUUCCUUCUCAGCCUUAAGUGUCCCUCUUGCAUUGCCUCGUU
rnacentral:lncRNA from 1 species